CGCCGGGUGCCUCCUGCAUCCCAGGGCUGCACUUCUCCCGUCCGGCGCCGCUGGUGAACUUUGCGGCAUACUGUCUCAGACCAAUAUAAGGAUCAUUUAAAUGGACAAAAGUAGCCAUCACAAGAUUUGUAUGUCCGUCUCUGGAGGAUAUUCUUCUAGCAAUAGCGUCUGGGCCUCGUGUGCUUUCUAUAAAGGAAGAGGUUUCAAGGCUACAAAAUCCCGGCAAGACAGCAUCAGCGGCAGCAGAGGCAACAGUGGCAGCAGCAGUGACCGAG